AGUGAACGCUGGCGGUAGGCCUAACACAUGCAAGUCGAACGGCAGCACAGUAAGAGCUUGCUCUUACGGGUGGCGAGUGGCGGACGGGUGAGGAAUACAUCGGAAUCUACUUUUUCGUGGGGGAUAACGCAGGGAAACUUACGCUAAUACCGCAUACGACCUACGGGUGAAAGCAGGGGAUCUUCGGACCUUGCGCGAUUGAAUGAGCCGAUGUCGGAUUAGCUAGUUGGCGGGGUAAAGGCCCACCAAGGCGACGAUCCGUAGCUGGUCUGAGGGGAUGAUCAGCCACACUGGAACUGAGACACGGUCCAGACUCCUACGGGAGGCAGCAGUGGGGAAUAUUGGACAAUGGGCGCAAGCCUGAUCCAGCCAUACCGCGUGGGUGAAGAAGGCCUUCGGGUUGUAAAGCCCUUUUGUUGGGAAAGAAAAGCAGCAGGUUAAUACCCCGCUGUUCUGACGGUACCCAAAGAAUAAGCACCGGCUAACUUCGUG
rnacentral:rRNA from 1 species